rnacentral:rRNA from 1 species
AAUCCGGUACUCGUUAAGGCUGAGCUGUGAUGGGGAGAAGACAUUGUGUCUUCGAGUCGUUGAUUUCACACUGCCGAGAAAAGCCUCUAGAUAGAAAAUAGGUGCCCGUACCGCAAACCGACACAGGUAGUCAAGAUGAGAAUUCUAAGGUGAGCGAGCGAACUCUCGUUAAGGAACUCGGCAAAAUGACCCCGUAACUUCGGGAGAAGGGGUGCUCUUUAGGGUUAACGCCCAGAAGAGCCGCAGUGAAUAGGCCCAAGCGACUGUUUAUCAAAAACACAGGUCUCUGCUAAACCGUAAGGUGAUGUAUAGGGGCUGACGCCUGCCCGGUGCUGGAAGGUUAAGAGGAGUGGUUAGCUUCUGCGAAGCUACGAAUCGAAGCCCCAGUAAACGGCGGCCGUAACUAUAACGGUCCUAAGGUAGCGAAAUUCCUUGUCGGGUAAGUUCCGACCCGCACGAAAGGCGUAACGAUUUGGGCACUGUCUCAACGAGAGACUCGGUGAAAUCAUAGUACCUGUGAAGAUGCAGGUUACCCGCGACAGGACGGAAAGACCCCGUGGAGCUUUACUGUAGCCUGAUAUUGAAAUUCGGCACAGCUUGUACAGGAUAGGUAGGAGCCUUUGAAACGUGAGCGCUAGCUUACGUGGAGGCGCUGGUGGGAUACUACCCUAGCUG